rnacentral:rRNA from 1 species
GAUGAACGCUAGCUACAGGCUUAACACAUGCAAGUCGCGGGGCAGCAUGGGGGUUGCUUGCAAUCCCCGAUGGCGACCGGCGCACGGGUGACUAACGCGUAUCCAACCUGCCCUUCACCACGGGAUAACCCGGCGAAAGUCGGACUAAUACCGUAUGUUGUCCAUUGACGGCAUCCGAUUUGGACGAAAGGCUUGGCGGUGAGGGAUGGGGAUGCGUCCGAUUAGCCAGACGGCGGGGUAACGGCCCACCGUGGCUACGAUCGGUAGGGGUUCUGAGAGGAAGGUCCCCCACACUGGAACUGAGACACGGUCCAGACUCCUACGGGAGGCAGCAGUGAGGAAUAUUGGUCAAUGGGCGUAAGCCUGAACCAGCCAAGUAGCGUGCAGGAUGACGGCCCUAUGGGUUGUAAACUGCUUUUAUGCGGGGAUAAAGUGGCCCACGUGUGGGCUUUUGCAGGUACCGCAUGAAUAAGGACCGGCUAAUUCCGUG